rnacentral:rRNA from 1 species
AUACGGAGGAUGCAAGCGUUAUCCGGAUUUAUUGGGUUUAAAGGGUGCGUAGGCGGUUUGCUAAGCGGGAGGUGAAAUGCCGGCGCUCAACGUCGGAAGUGCCUCCCGAACUGGUGGACUUGAAUGACUCUGCCGUGGGAGGAAUGUGUAGUGUAGCGGUGAAAUGCUUAGAGAUUACACAGAACACCGAUUGCGAAGGCAUCUCACGAAGGGUUGAUUGACGCUGAGGCACGAAAGCGUGGGGAUCAAACAGGAUUAGAUACCCUGGUAGUCCACGCAGUAAACGAUGAUGGCUAACCGCUGGGCUUAUCAGUUCAGUGGCCAAGCGAAAGCGAUAAGCCAUCCACCUGGGGAGUACGACCGCGAGGUUGAAACUCAAAGGAAUUGACGGGG